rnacentral:rRNA from 1 species
GACAGAGGGUGCAAACGUUGUUCGGAAUUACUGGGCGUAAAGCGUGUGUAGGCGGCCACGUAAGUCGGAUGUGAAAGCCCCAGGCUCAACCUGGGAAGUGCACUCGAUACUGGGAAGCUGAGUCCGGGAGAGGUGAGUGGAACUCCGAGUGUAGAGGUGAAAUUCGUAGAUAUUCGGAAGAACACCAGUGGCGAAGGCGGCUCACUGGCCCGGUACUGACGCUGAGGUGCGAAAGCGUGGGGAGCAAACAGG